CCCGCUGAACUUAAGCAUAUCAGUAAGCGGAGGAAAAGAAACUAACAAGGAUUCCCCUAGUAACGGCGAGUGAAGCGGGAAAAGCUCAAAUUUAAAAUCUGGCGGUCUUGCGGCCGUCCGAGUUGUAAUCUGGAGAAGCGUUUAUCCGCGUCGGACCGUGUACAAGUCUUCUGGAAGGGAGCGUCGUAGAGGGUGAGAAUCCCGUCUUUGACACGGACAACCGGUGCUUUUGUGAUGCGCUCUCGAAGAGUCGAGUUGUUUGGGAAUGCAGCUCAAAAUGGGUGGUAAAUUCCAUCUAAAGCUAAAUAUUGGCGAGAGACCGAUAGCGAACAAGUACCGUGAGGGAAAGAUGAAAAGAACUUUGAAAAGAGAGUUAAACAGUACGUGAAAUUGUUGAAAGGGAAACGCUUGAAGUCAGUCGUGUCUUGCAGAGAUCAAGUCAACUCUUUUGUUGGCCGUACUCUCUGCUAUGACAGGUCAGCAUCAAUUUUGACCGCUGGAUAAAGGCCUUGGGAAUGUGGCAUCCUCGGAUGUGUUAUAGACCAGGGUUCGGAUACAGUGGUUGGGAUUGAGGAACUCAGUGUGCCUUCAUGGCUGGGGCUUCGGCUCACACCACACACUCAGGAUGCUGGCAUAAUGGCUUUAAUCGACCCGUCUUGAAACACGG
rnacentral:rRNA from 1 species